rnacentral:piRNA from 2 species
UGGACAAAUUUCCAGAAUCUUCCAUUUGGUC